AGCGAACGCUAGCGGCGGGCCUAACACAUGCAAGUCGAGCGCAUACCUUCGGGUAUGAGCGGCGGACGGGUGAGUAACACGUAGGUAAUCUACCCUUUGGUGGGGAAUAACCCGGGGAAACUCGGGCUAAUGCCGCACGAGGUCUACGGAUCAAAGCCUUCGGGCGCCAGAGGAUGAGCCUGCGUUGCAUUACCUAGUUGGCGGGGUAACGGCCCACCAAGGGGACGAUGCAUAGCUGGUCUGAGAGGAUGAUCAGCCACACUGGGACUGAGACACGGCCCAGACUCCUACGGGAGGCAGCAGUGGGGAAUAUUGCGCAAUGGGGGGAAACCCUGACGCAGCUACGCCGCGUGGGUGAUGAAGGCCUCGGGUUGUAAAGCCCUGUCGGGAGGGACGGAAUUCUGACGGUACCUCCCAAGAAAGCACCGGCUAACUCCGUGCCAGCAGCCGCGGUAAU
rnacentral:rRNA from 1 species